CUAGCCGUAAACGAUGGAUACUAGGCGUUGUGAGUAUCGACCCUCACAGUGUCGUAGCUAACGCGUUAAGUAUCCCGCCUGGGGAGUACGCGCGCAAGCGUGAAACUCAAAGGAAUUGACGGGGGCCCGCACAAGCGGUGGAGUAUGUGGUUUAAUUCGAUGCAACGCGAAGAACCUUACCAGGACUUGACAUGUCGCGAAUCUCAGGGAAACUUGAGAGUGCCUUCGGGAGCGCGAACACAGGUGAUGC
rnacentral:rRNA from 1 species